rnacentral:rRNA from 1 species
CACGGGGGGGGUAAGCGUUGUUCGGAAUUACUGGGCGUAAAGGGCUCGUAGGCGGCCAACUAAGUCGGACGUGAAAUCCCUCAGCUUAACUGGGGAACUGCGUCCGAUACUGGAUGGCUUGGAUUUGGGAGAGGGAUGCGGAAUUCCAGGUGUAGCGGUGAAAUGCGUAGAUAUCUGGAGGAACACCGGUGGCGAAGGCGGCAUCCUGGACCAAUAUUGACGCUGAGGAGCGAAAGCCAGGGGAGCAAACGGG